UUGAAGCCUGCCCCUGGUAAUUGUCUGUUUCACCCAGUGGUAAAGACUUAGAUGCCUGUUCCUGCCUUUUUGUCUUGCUGCUGUCAGUGGACAGGUAACAUUAGACCCUGCCUCCUGUAGCAGCAGCACUCACUGGUGAACACCUGACAUUUUAGGCAGCAGGUUGCAGUCUGCCAGGGUGAGCUCGUUCCCGUCCAGGAAGCAUCGGCUGGAGCCCUUCUCCUCCUCCAUGCUGUCUGCAUCGAUCUCAUCUGGCAGGGGGCUGUUCAGGUCAGGAAGGGAGGGUGCGUCCCCGGGGCCAGGUUGUGCAGAUCCGCCGGCUUCCUGCGGAGCACACAUUGGAGGGAAGUGCUAC